CUGCUAUUUCAGCAAAGGGAUACCAUCAUCCAGGUUUCCCCUCCAAUUUCUGACUGUACAGCUAUUUAGUAGUGACACCAGUAAAACUUACUUAAAAGACAUUUAGUUAACAAUGUACAUUUUCUAAGAAAACCUGAAAGAGUUUCAAAAUACUGCUAUCAACUUCAAAACACACUGUAAUGUACCAUAGUUAUGGGUCUAUGACUAGCUACUGUCAUACACACUACAGAUUUGCAGGCUGCCCUAGAGAGAAUCAUGUAAUUCCUUCCAGCAUAUGGAGACACCCUGUUCAAAUGGAUAUUUGUAGCUCCCAAAAAUGUCAGUGCAAUGGGUGUGAAAAUAUUUUAGUUCAUUUCACUUGAAAUUAGGAUGUCUUACUAGAAGUUUCAAGGAACAAGACCUAAACCAAAAUUCUGACAGUCCAACCAUGUCUUGCUUGUUGCUAUUUUAAAUUUAGAAACAAGUAAGAUCAAAAACUUUUGUUCAGCCUUGUGUGCUCUCCGUGGACUGCAGAGGAUGCAGCCACUGGUGUCAAGAGCAGCUCAGAGUAGCUGUGCUCACACCUCAGUUCCCCACAGGGGCUGGGAUCUUGUUCAGACUGGCUGCAGAGAGGAGGCAUUCCAGGACAGGGAAACUGAGCCAGAUGGACAUUUACCUCAAAGACUGACCCUAUGCACAUGAAAGGUCAUUCAGCUGUAAAGACAAGUGAGGAAGGGUCCAGAAAGAAAUCCCAGACUCCCAGCACAUCCCCCUGCACAAGGUUGCUCCCUUGCCACAGCAAGAUCUGUAAAAUAAAACUGUCUGCACCUCUCCCAUUCCAUUGCAAGUUAAUAUUUGGCUGCAAAUGCACUCCUUCCCCUUCCAGUGGAAAUUUAAGCUAACAGAUCUGGGAACGUCUGGAAAUCACUGAGGGCGCACACUGCUUUCCUCAAGCCCUGCUGAGAGGGGAAAGCAUAAGGCAAGAACAGUCACAGCUUCUGCAGCUUCAGGACUGCUGCAAAUUUUCUGCUCUCUUUCCUGUUCAAAGCUGUGACAUCUGGGGUUUCAAACUAGCACCAACAAGAAUUUCUAAUUUGUCUCUAAUCACAUACAGGUAAAGGUAUCUCAGCUCAAUAAAUCAAGAUUACUGACUCA
rnacentral:lncRNA from 1 species